rnacentral:rRNA from 1 species
UACGUAGGGGGCAAGCGUUGUCCGGAAUUAUUGGGCGUAACGCGCGUGUAGGCGGCUCGGUAAGUCUGCUGUGAAAGUCCAGGGCUCAACCCUGGAAUGCCGGUGGAUACUGUCGAGCUCGAGUCCGGAAGAGGCGAGUGGAAUUCCUGGUGUAGCGGUGAAAUGCGCAGAUAUCAGGAAGAACACCGAUGGCGAAGGCAGCUCUCUGGGACGGUACUGACGCUGAGACGCGAAAGCGUGGGGAGCGAACAGG